rnacentral:lncRNA from 1 species
AAAAGAGGAUAACAAUUUUACACUCUCCAAUCUAAGAAUUCACAUUAUAUAUUUAUCUCGUUAUUUAUUUAUACUAAAAAUUAAAAAAUAAUCUCGUAGAUAGAUGUUUAAUGAGAGGAAGGAUGAAUAAGUAGAACAAAAUAGAGUUCAUUGGUGGAAUACUGUCAUCUUGCGACCCCUAAUAAUUUGCUCUCUAUCCUACGUUUUUAAUUUAUGAAAAUUCUAAAUUAAUAUUUUUUAUACAAAACAUAAUAUAACCUUCUCUUUAUUACUGACAUAAUUAUACAAAACAUAAUUUUUUAAAUAUUUGAACGUAUGUAUCUAUUAUUUAA